GCGCGCACGACCUCGUCGCCCUGAGCUUCUGCGCAGCGCAAUGGCAGCAGCGGUGGUGCGCCAUCUCUCCACGUAAAUUUGACUUCUCAACGAGUGCGCCAGGCACGUAAACGCUUGGUGCAGCAGUGUGCUGUGUCUGCCUAAACUAUGGCGUCUGGGUGUUCUUUGUGGCAUCACGUAUCAACUACACUGAACGGCAAUCUAGGAGCAUGCUUUUGAGCCCAGGGUGACAGAGGCCUGCGGUACAAAAUGCCUGUAUUUAAAUUUUAUCCCUAUCCUCUCACAGAAGACAUAGCAUCGUGACAUCAAAGAGUAAACCACAAGGCACACCGUGCAGCUUCACCAGCGAAUGUAAUCCAGGAUUGUGCUGCUUGAACCAAUCCGGCCAGCCAACUUGUCAACCUCUUGCACAACAUGGUCAAUCGUGCUCCAUCACACCCAAAGCGGGAG